GUUCCGCUGAGGUGUGGUAGGAAGUGGCAGCCGUCAAUCAGGCGAGGAGACUCCAAACAGUGAGCCUGGAGCUGGAGAGCAUCGUUCACCGGCGGGGCGGCCGGUUUUAUGAAUGAAGCUAUGGCUACAGAUUCCCCAAGAAGACCCAGUCGUUGUACUGGUGGAGUUGUGGUUCGUCCCCAGGCUGUCACAGAGCAGUCCUACAUGGAGAGUGUUGUGACUUUUCUACAGGAUGUUGUGCCACAGGCUUACAGUGGAACACCUCUAACAGAAGAAAAGGAGAAAAUAGUCUGGGUCAGAUUUGAAAAUGCAGAUUUAAAUGAUACAUCAAGAAAUCUGGAAUUUCAUGAAAUACACAGCACUGGGAAUGAACCACCUUUGCUGAUUAUGAUUGGCUACAGUGAUGGAAUGCAGGUCUGGAGCAUCCCUAUCAGUGGGGAAGCACAGGAGCUCUUCUCUGUUCGACAUGGCCCAAUUCGAGCAGCUAGAAUCUUGCCUGCUCCACAGUUUGGUGCUCAAAAAUGUGAUAACUUUGCUGAAAAAAGACCCCUCCUUGGUGUUUGUAAGAGCAUUGGAUCUUCUGGCACAAGCCCACCGUACUGUUGUGUGGAUCUGUAUUCACUUCGUACUGGGGAGAUGGUCAAGUCCAUUCAGUUUAAGACACCCAUUUAUGAUCUUCAUUGCAAUAAACGGAUUCUUGUUGUAGUCUUGCAGGAGAAAAUUGCUGCCUUUGAUAGCUGUACUUUCACAAAGAAAUUCUUUGUCACAAGCUGCUAUCCAUGUCCAGGGCCAAACAUGAAUCCUAUUGCUCUUGGGAGCCGCUGGCUUGCUUAUGCAGAAAACAAGUUGAUUCGAUGUCAUCAGUCCCGUGGUGGAGCCUGUGGAGACAACAUUCAGUCUUACACUGCCACAGUUAUUAGUGCUGCUAAAACAUUGAAAAGUGGCUUGACAAUGGUAGGGAAAGUGGUGACUCAGCUGACAGGCACACUGCCUUCAGGUGUGACAGAAGAUGACGUUGCCAUCCACAGUAAUUCACGGCGGAGUCCUUUGGUCCCAGGCAUCAUCACAGUUAUUGACACUGAAACUGUUGGAGAGGGCCAGGUGCUUGUGAGUGAGGAUUCUGACAGUGAUGGCAUUGUGGCCCACUUCCCUGCCCAUGAAAAGCCAGUGUGCUGCAUGGCUUUUAAUACAAGUGGAAUGCUUCUAGUCACAACAGACACCCUUGGCCAUGACUUUCAUGUCUUCCAAAUUCUGACUCAUCCUUGGUCCUCAUCACAAAGUGCUGUCCACCAUCUGUACACUCUUCACAGGGGAGAAACUGAAGCCAAAGUACAAGACAUCUGCUUCAGCCAUGACUGUCGCUGGGUUGUGGUCAGUACUCUCCGGGGUACUUCCCACGUUUUCCCCAUCAACCCUUAUGGUGGCCAGCCUUGUGUUCGUACACAUAUGUCACCACGAGUAGUGAAUCGCAUGAGCCGUUUCCAGAAAAGUGCUGGACUGGAAGAGAUUGAACAAGAACUGACAUCUAAGCAAGGAGGUCGCUGUAGCCCUGUUCCAGGUCUAUCAAGCAGCCCUUCUGGGUCACCCUUGCAUGGGAAACUGAACAGCCAAGACUCCUAUAACAAUUUUACCAACAACAACCCUGGCAACCCUCGGCUCUCUCCUCUCCCCAGCUUGAUGGUAGUGAUGCCUCUUGCACAAAUCAAGCAACCAAUGACAUUGGGGACCAUCACCAAACGAACAGGCAAAGUUAAACCUCCUCCACAAAUUUCACCCAGCAAAUCGAUGGGCGGAGAAUUUUGUGUGGCUGCUGUCUUUGGUACAUCCAGGUCAUGGUUUGCAAAUAAUGCAGGUCUGAAAAGAGAAAAAGAUCAGUCCAAACAAGUUGUAGUUGAGUCCCUGUACAUUAUCAGUUGCUACGGCACCUUAGUGGAGCACAUGAUGGAGCCACGACCCCUCAGCACUGCCCCCAAGAUUAGUGAUGACACUCCACUGGAAAUGAUGACAUCGCCUCGAGCCAGCUGGACUCUGGUUAGAACCCCUCAGUGGAAUGAAUUGCAGCCACCAUUUAACGCAAACCACCCUCUGCUCCUCGCUGCAGAUGCAGUACAGUAUUAUCAGUUCCUGCUUGCUGGCCUGGUUCCCCCUGGAAGUCCUGGGCCCAUUACUCGACAUGGGUCUUAUGACAGUUUAGCUUCUGACCAUAGUGGACAGGAAGAUGAAGAAUGGCUUUCCCAGGUUGAGAUUGUAACACACACUGGACCCCACAGACGUCUGUGGAUGGGUCCACAGUUCCAGUUCAAAACCAUCCACCCCUCAGGCCAAACCACAGUCAUCUCAUCCAGUUCAUCUGUGUUGCAGUCUCAUGGUCCAAGUGACACGCCACAGCCUCUUUUGGAUUUUGAUACAGAUGAUCUUGAUCUCAACAGUCUCAGGAUCCAGCCAGUCCGCUCUGACCCAGUCAGCAUGCCAGGGUCAUCCCGUCCAGUCUCUGAUCGAAGGGGAGUUUCCACAGUGAUUGAUGCUGCCUCAGGUACCUUUGACCGGAGCGUGACCCUGUUGGAGGUGUGCGGGAGCUGGCCCGAGGGCUUCGGGCUGCGGCACAUGUCCUCCAUGGAGCACACCGAGGAGGGCCUCCGGGAGCGGCUCGCUGACGCCAUGGCCGAGUCACCCAGCCGGGAUGUCGUGGGAUCCGGAACAGACACAGCCCUUGACGUAGCAGUAAAAACCUUCCCCCCCGAGAGACACGUGGCUGUGAAGUGUUUUGGCCCCCCGCCUCCCCAGCCACGCUCCGGAAGAGAGAGCAGUUGUUUCCAGGCACAGGACUGGUGUAAGACAAGCAGCCCCGAGCCACGUCUGCCUGGGCCACCCCUCUCCAGGUGCCAGCACCAGGAAGCUGCCAGCCGUGCACAGCCCCACGCGUUUUGUUCGUCUUCCCUCCACCUAGCCUCUCUCUCUCCAAGCCCUAUUUUGCGUAGCUGGUCCUGUCUGUAGAACGUAAGGGCUCUGCGCACAGGCCCCUCGCUGGCAAAGUUGAUCGCUUGGGGCAGACCACAUAUGGUCCAUUUGCUGAACUUCUAGCGGUCCUGUGGUCCCCUGGUCUCUACCUCCCAUGUCCCAUCAAGGGGAAAAUGCAGAAAAUGCCUGACCUCCUAAUGAGAGGGUCUCCCCGACUAUGUACCUCACUUCCCAUUCAAGAAGCCCCAGGCAGAAGGGGACCAAAGCUGUUGGUUGCACACCUCCUCAAAGCCAGGUGCUGGGCAAGCUCUGGCAGCUCACUGUCUGCCGUAUGCCGUGCAGCCAUUGCUCCCCUGGGCUACCACGAGCCCAGCCCCGGCAAGGGUCUUAACCAUAGCCCCUGCUGAUGUGGGAGAGCUGAGAGGUGGGUGCAGGAGGGAAAAAUCGAUGCGUGUCAACAGGAUUAGAAAUUUAUUUUCCAUCUUGGAAAAGGGUAUUUGCAAAGAGGCAAGGAGGGAAAUGAAAAGCUGUAAACACGUAUCUGCCAUCUUCCUCCCUGGGCCAUUUCUUGAUUAAAAAGAAAGACUCCUUCCCAAGCUCCCGUGGAAGCCAAGCUGAUGAGAGCCUGGAUGGCAGAGAUACCUCCCCGGGAGGGAGGCUGGAGAGGGACCCUGUAGCCCUGCGGAUCAUCACAGUGACUAAUCCGAUUGCAGCAAUAAUAGUAACUCACAUUUGCUGACUGGAAGCGUUAAGCACUUUGUGAUGCACUCUACAUGCAUUAUUUCAUUUCAUUCUUAGAACCAGGCCGUGACACAGACAUGUUAACCUCAUGUUCGGGAACCUCAGGCUUGACAAAGAUUCAAGUAACUUUCCCAAAGUCUCCCAGGGAAAAAAAAAGGAAAAAAAAAACAAUGCCAACAGCCCAGCGUCCGUGAUCA